GCCAGGUGUGGUGGUGCACACCUGUAAUCUCAGUGACUCAGGAGGCUGAGGCAGGAGGAUUGCAAGUUUGAGAUAGGCCUCAGUGACUUAAUGAGACCCUGUCUCAA
rnacentral:sRNA from 1 species